rnacentral:lncRNA from 1 species
UCCUAGUAACGGAAUUCAGCUUUCGGUAGUCCACACAUACUCGCUAACCAGUUGUUGCACGAGUAGGAAUUAACUCACCCUCAUCAUUCUCUACUACGGUAAUACCUGACUUCUUAGGUACUACCUGGGUUGGACUAACCCAUUGGCUAUCCGAAAUUGGGUAGAUAAUUCCAGCAUCUAGCCAUUUCACUACUUCCUUUUUCACGACUUCCCGCAUAUUCGGAUUCAAUCUUCGUUGCAUGUCCCUAU